rnacentral:rRNA from 1 species
UACGUAGGGUGCGAGCGUUAAUCGGAAUUACUGGGCGUAAAGUGUGCGCAGGUGGCUUCGCAAGUCGAGUGUGAAAUCCCCGGGCUUAACCUGGGAAUUGCGCUCGAAACUACGGAGCUGGAGUAUGGCAGAGGGAGGUGGAAUUCCACGUGUAGCGGUGAAAUGCGUAGAGAUGUGGAGGAACACCAAUGGCGAAGGCAGCCUCCUGGGCCAAUACUGACGCUGAGCCGCGAAAGCCAGGGGAGCGAACGGG